rnacentral:rRNA from 1 species
GGCAAAGCCGCGAAUGGCUCAUUACAGCAGCCGUUGUUUAAUAGCGGACGAAUAUGUUGCGGACAACUGUGGUAAUUCUAGAGCUAAUACGUGCACCAUAGCUUCGACUGCGGUCGUAGCGCAGCUAUUAGAACAAAGCCAAGCAGGAACCUUUCACAAGGGCUGCUGUUGGAUGAAUCUGAAUAACGUUGUUGAUUGCAUGGUCAAGUACCGGCGACAUGUCUUAUAAAUGCCUGCCUUAUCAACUUAGGUUGGUAGGUUAGACGCCUACCAUGGUGAUAACGGGUAACGGAGGAUAAGGGUUCGACUCCGGAGAGGCAGCCCGAGAAACGGCUGCCACAUCCAAGGAAGGCAGCAGGCACGCAAAUUACCCAAUUUCGGAAUGAAGAGGUAGUGAUGAAAAAUAACGAGGCGGUGCUCUUUGAGACCCGUCAUCGGAAUGAUCUUGAUUUAAAACCGCUCGCAAGGAUUAAUUGGAGGGCAAGUCUGGUGCCAGCAGCCGCGGUAAUUCCAGCUCCAAUAGCUUAUAUUAAAGUUGUUGCGGUUAAAACGCUCGUAGUUGGAUCUGCUGUAAGCGGGAGCGGUGCCCCCGUUAUCGGGUGGCGAACCGCAUAUCUCGGGCUUCGAUGUCGGUUGACGUGUUGGAUGCUCUUAAAAAAGUGACCAAUGUGUGCUGAAAAUUUACUUUGAAGAAAAUAGAGUGCUCAAAGCAGGUGAUGUGCUUGAAUAUUAUUGCAUGGAAUAAUGGAGAAGGAUCUCGGUUCUAUUUUUUGGUUUUCGGAUCCGAGGUAAUGAUUAAAAGGAACAGUCGGGGACAUUCGUAUUGCUGCGUUAGAGGUGAAAUUCUUGGAUCGCAGUAAGACGAACAACUGCGAAAGCAUUUGUCAAGGAUGUUUUCAUUGAUCAAGAACGAAAGUUAGAGGUUCGAAGGCGAUCAGAUACCGCCCUAGUUCUAACUGUAAACGAUGCCAACUAGCGAUUCGUUCAUGUUACUACUACGAUUGGACGAGAAUCUUGCGGGAAACCAAAGUUAUCAGGUU